CUUGGCUGAACAUUAAGGAAGCUCACGUUGGAGAAUGCUGCUGAAUUGAGAGGACACACACCGAAGAAUUAAGAUCUAGAAUCAUACCUGUGGUGAGAAAAGCUGCAGCAGUGACUGACUGAAAGGGCUGACCCAUCAUACACAAAACACCACUUUCUUCCCACCAGGGAAGAGGUGACCACACACAUCUAGCAGAACUUCCUCUUGGUGAUGCCUCUGUGAGUGCCUAUCCAUCCCCGGAAAUGACAGGGAACAUUGGGUCACAUGUGAGUUUCUUAUGAAUCAUACCUCCUUUUGUCCAUCUCAUCAACUCCCUUUCUGAGAAUUCAGUUAACUUACAAUUCCUGGUUUCUCUUUCUCUUGCUUUUUAUCUGAUGCUGGUUGUGCCUUGUUCCUUGGCACCAUUGUGACA
rnacentral:lncRNA from 14 species